UUUUUUUUUUUUUCCUUCCUCGUAGCCUAGCACCCUAUUGCCAUUAACUCUUCCCACCGCUCGCUAUCGCUGAUUACCAACCUCAGCCUACCCCCAUCACUCCCUACCAUUAAAUGCUACACCCCAAUUUGCUUGCCUACGCAACUUGCAGACUCUCCCCAUCGCUCGUCACCCCUAGCCCAUGCUCCUUGCCCCUGAUGCUCCCCCAUCCAUCGUCAUCACCGGCAAUGUCGUAGCCAUCAGCUGUCAAUUACGGAUGUCGUUGGUGCCAAC
rnacentral:lncRNA from 1 species